rnacentral:rRNA from 1 species
GGAUGAACGCUAGCGGCAGGCCUAACACAUGCAAGUCGAGGGGCAGCACAGGUAGCAAUACUGGGUGGCGACCGGCGGAUGGGUGCGUAACGCGUAUGCAACCUACCAUUGAUUGGGGCAUAGCCCGAAGAAAUUCGGAUUAAUACUCCAUAAUAUUCAUCAAAGGCAUCUUUUAUGAAUUAAAGCUUUUGCGAUCAAUGAUGGGCAUGCGUGACAUUAGUUAGUUGGUGAGGUAACGGCUCACCAAAACGAUGAUGUCUAGGGGUUCUGAGAGGAUUAUCCCCCACACUGGUACUGAGACACGGACCAGACUCCUACGGGAGGCGGCAGUGAGGAAUAUUGGUCAAUGGGCGCAAGCCUGAACCAGCCAUCCCGCGUGAAGGAAGAAGGCCCUAUGGGUUGUAAACUUCUUUUCCAGGGGGUGAAUAAUUCCGAUGUAUCGGGAGAUGACGGUACCCUGGGAAUAAGCAUCGGCUAACUCCGUGCCAGCAGCCGCGGUAAUACGGAGGAUGCGAGCGUUAUCCGGAUUUAUUGGGUUUAAAGGGUGCGUAGGCGGAACAAUAAGUCAGUGGUGAAAGACUGCAGCUUAACUGUAGACUUGCCGUUGAUACUGUUGAUCUUGAGUAUGGUCAAGGCAGGCGGAAUGCGUAAUGUAGCGGUGAAAUGCUUAGAUAUUACACAGAACACCGAUUGCGAAGGCAGCUUGCUGGGCCAUUACUGACGCUGAUGCACGAAAGCGUGGGGAUCGAACAGGAUUAGAUACCCUGGUAGUCCACGCAGUAAACGAUGAUCACUCGCUGUUGGCGAUACACAGUCAGCGGCUAAGCAAAAGCAUUAAGUGAUCCACCUGGGGAGUACGGCCGCAAGGCUGAAACUCAAAGGAAUUGACGGGGGCCCGCACAAGCGGAGGAACAUGUGGUUUAAUUCGAUGAUACGCGAGGAACCUUACCUGGGCUUAAAUGUAGAGUGCAUGAGGUAGAAAUACUUCUUUCCUUCGGGACUCUUUGCAAGGUGCUGCAUGGUUGUCGUCAGCUCGUGCCGUGAGGUGUCGGGUUAAGUCCCAUAACGAGCGCAACCCUUAUCGUUAGUUGCCAGCGGGUAAUGCCGGGAACUCUAGCGAAACUGCCGGUGUAAACCGAGAGGAAGGUGGGGAUGACGUCAAAUCAGCACGGCCCUCAUGUCCAGGGCUACACACGUGUUACAAUGGCCGGUACAGAGGGCAGCUACCUGGAGACAGGAUGCGAAUCUCGAAAGCCGGUCUCAGUUCGGAUCGGAGUCUGCAACUCGACUCCGUGAAGCUGGAUUCGCUAGUAAUCGCGCAUCAGCCAUGGCGCGGUGAAUACGUUCCCGGGCCU